GUCUGCGGCCACAGCACCCUGAACGCGCCCCAUCUCGUCUGAUCUCGGAAGCUAAGCAGGGUCGGGCCUGGCUAGUACCUGGAUGGGAGACCGCCUGGGGAUACCGGGUGCUACAGGCC
rnacentral:rRNA from 1 species